ensembl:snRNA U6atac minor spliceosomal RNA
GUGACGUAUGAAGGGAGAGAAGGUGUGCGCUCCCCUUGAUAAGGAUGGAAACGGCGCCUGAGGCCGGCAUUACUUAUGUUGUUAAAGCAUUGCCACCUGUUUCGUGGCAUUCCAAAACCAAGUAAUUUC